rfam:Schistocephalus solidus strain NST_G2 genome assembly, scaffold: SSLN_contig0005933
GAGCCCGUGGCUCAAUGGUAGAACGUUCGACUCAAAUACGAAAGGUCUUGGGUUCGAAUCCUAGGUGUUCC